UCAGAAAGCCACGGCUAACUACGUGCCAGCAGCCGCGGUAAUACGUAGGUGGCAAGCGUUAUCCGGAAUUAUUGGGCGUAAAGCGCGCGUAGGCGGUUUUUUAAGUCUGAUGUGAAAGCCCACGGCUCAACCGUGGAGGGUCAUUGGAAACUGGAAAACUUGAGUGCAGAAGAGGAAAGUGGAAUUCCAUGUGUAGCGGUGAAAUGCGCAGAGAUAUGGAGGAACACCAGUGGCGAAGGCGACUUUCUGGUCUGUAACUGACGCUGAUGUGCGAAAGCGUGGGGAUCAAACAGGAUUAGAUACCCUGGUAGUCCACGCCGUAAACGAUGAGUGCUAAGUGUUAGGGGG
rnacentral:rRNA from 1 species